rnacentral:rRNA from 1 species
GACGAACGCUGGCGGCGUGCUUAACACAUGCAAGUCGAACGGAAAGGCCUGCUUUCCCUUGUGGAUUGCGGGUACUCGAGUGGCGAACGGGUGAGUAACACGUGAGUGAUCUGCCCCCAACUUGGGUAUAAGCCUGGGAAACUGGGUCUAAUUCCCGAUAGGACUGCAGGGUGGUGCCUGUGGUGGAAAACGAUUUUCUAGUGGUUGGGGAUGAGCUCGCGGCCUAUCAGCUUGUUGGUGGGGUAAUGGCCUACCAAGGCGGCGACGGGUAGCCGGCCUGGGAGGGUGGACGGCCACAUUGGGACUGGGAUACGGCCCAGACGCCUACGGGAGGCAGCAGUGGGGAAUAUUGCACAAUGGGCGGAAGGCUGAGGCAGCGACGCCGCGUGGGGGAUGACGGCCUUCGGGUUGUAAACUCCUUUCGACCGCGAGGAAGCCACCUGGUUGGAAGGGUGGUGACGGUAGUGGUAGAAGAAGCACCGGCUAACUACGUG